UACGUAGGGUGCUAGCGUUGUCCGGAAUCAUUGGGCGUAAAGAGCUCGUAGGCGGUUUGUCGCGUCGGCUGUGAAAACUGGGGGCUCAACCCCUGGCCUGCAGUCGAUACGGGCAGACUAGAGUUCGGUAGGGGAGACUGGAAUUCCUGGUGUAGCGGUGAAAUGCGCAGAUAUCAGGAGGAACACCAGUGGCGAAGGCGAGUCCCUGGACACUUCCUGACACUGAGGCACGAAAGCUAGGGGAGCAAACAGG
rnacentral:rRNA from 1 species